rnacentral:lncRNA from 1 species
GAGUGACCUCAGAUUCUAGCAGCAACACCAUUCAAUCACCUUCUUGGGUACAAUGGUGACCCAUUUGGGUUAGGGUUCAGUGGCCCUCAACCCAACCAGCUUUGCGUGGCUUGGAAGAGCCAUUUGCCCAUGCACUCUCGUGCUUAGACAAUAGUUGAUUUCAAUCUCCCGCAGAUAUGCCGACAUUUAAAAGCAACUGCUUUGAUAUAAUGUCUCAGUAGUCAUUGUGGUGGUUAUGGUCCAUUGUGUCACA